ACAACACAAUCAUGUCUCUUUUACUAAUUGUGGCUACACUGGGUCUGCUUGCUCAAGUGUCUCAUCAAGAGGUCCAGUCUCCUGAGUCUCUGUCUGUUAAAGCAGGAGAUUCUGCUUCUAUCAGCUGCACUGCAUCUUCUGGAAUUGGUUAUCGCAUGAGCUCGUAUCUGCUGAAACCCGGAGAAGCUCCUAAACUCCUGAUCUACUCAACAAGUAACCUUGCAUCUGGAGUUUCAGACCGGUUCAGUGGAACUUAUUCUGGAUAUGAAUUUAUGCUGAACAUAUGUGGAGUCCAGCUUGAGGAUGAAGGAGAUUAUUACUGUAUGGAGUAUUAUAAUGGUCCAGUGUUCACACAGUGA